rnacentral:rRNA from 1 species
ACUCCUGCGGGAGGCAGCAGUGGGGAAUAUUGCACACUGGGCGCAAGCCUGAUGCAGCCAUGCCGCGUGUAUGAAGAAGGCCUUCGGGUUGUAAAGUACUUUCAGCGGGGAGGAAGGCGAUAAGGUUAAUAACCUUGUCGAUUGACGUUACCCGCAGAAGAAGCACCGGCUAACUCCGUGCCAGCAGCCGCGGUAAUACGGAGGGUGCAAGCGUUAAUCGGAAUUAUUGGGCGUAAAGCGCACGCAGGCGGUCUGUCAAGUCGGAUGUGAAAUCCCCGGGCUCAACCUGGGAACUGCAUUCGAAACUGGCAGGCUGGAGUCUUGUAGAGGGGGGUAGAAUUCCAGGUGUAGCGGUGAAAUGCGUAGAGAUCUGGAGGAAUACCGGUGGCGAAGGCGGCCCCCUGGACAAAGACUGACGCUCAGGUGCGAAAGCGUGGGGAGCAAACAGGAUUAGAAACCCGGGUAGUCCCA